CUACCAAUGCCGCGCCUCUAUCACCCAUCACCAGGGUAACCAACAGCUGAACAGGGAAAUAGAGCCGAUUGACAAGCGCCUUUGAGGAGAGUGUGGAAAAGAGCUGAGGUGUGAGUCAGGAUGUAGAAGUGAGUUGCAAGCGAUAUGCUGUUGCGGACAUUGGUGGCAAGCGAUAAGCCAUGAGUGUGGAAAGAACAGAGCUGUGAAUCGGGCGUAAGAGAUGUGUGUGGUAGAGUCGAGUGAGUGGAGCCUACGAGAGGUCUGGUGUGGCGCUGAGAAAGGACAGGUCGGCUACAUGUGGGAGCACCGGGUUCGUGGACCGUGGCGGCCGAGGAGCCAGCGUGUGUCCAGUGGGGUGCUACGGGCCGAUGUGGUUGCGUAUGUGAAGAGCGCCGAGCUCGGGAGACCAUAUAGACUCGGAGGACAGUGCGAGAGUAUGUGUGCGUGUCGAGAGCAGGGAACAGAGACUCGAAGACUGUUGUUGUGGCAGAGAGUUGGCUGUAUGUGCAGACCUCUGUAACUGAUUUAAUUUGACGUGAAUAAAUCAGGGUUGACAACCAGGGUAGCAAUACCGCCCCACGUUACAAUAUGCAUUGCAAACAUUACAAUGUUAAAAGAUAAAAGCUGAAAAUAUGGUAGAGAUUUCCCAUCAAAUGAUGAAAAUCUCACCUAGAUAUUGAUAAAAACACAUGCAGUAAUAUGGAUAUCUAAAAAAGAGACAAAAAUCCGGGGUGAGAAGUCUUGCCACUCUAGUGUGGUCUAUAAAACAUGGUAACGUAAGGGUGAAAAGGUGCAGGAAUAGAAGUAUGGAAAAUGAAUGCAGAUGCAACAAAAAUAACAAAAACUUAUCAGUUAGUUUUAACAAAUUCAUUGGGAAAAGUGCACUUUGUUAGGAUUGCUGUAUCACCUUCAUUUUCAGUUUGAACUUAAUGAUAGGUAUAAGCUUGGGAUAUACUGUGAUACUAAAAAAUAUGUAUAAAAAUCACUAUUUCAGAUAACAAAAACAAUUAGUCAAUGUAAAACACAACUUCAUACACACUAUAUAAAUAUGGUAGCAGUAUGAAAGAAA